GUUCCUUUUAAAGAAUUUCUCAUCAAUUUUGUGUAUUUCAUUUAGACUAGAGCUUUCUACUUUUUAUUCCAAGUAUGAAACACGCGAUUACAGCGCCCCAGCGGUGAAGUACGUAAUAUACUUCCUAUGACUCUUGAACCAAUCAAUAAUCGAUUUCUCACGAUCGAUUUUUAAGCGGCAAACAUGGCGGAAAGAAACACACUUCAUCUGUAAAGAACAAAUCACCCAUAAAGAAGAAUCACCCCAUAUCUAGAAAAAUCACCUAGAAAGAAGUAUCAUUCAAAAGUUCUCAGGAUCUCCCCAUCCCCCCUACUACUUUCUCAACUGAAGGACGAGACGUGUGGCAGAGAGUCAUUCGACUACUGGAUUUCGUGACAACAACACACGUUACGUCGCGUUUAGUUGCAAAGAUAGCAUAGGAUGCAUAGACGAUCAUUAAUGAACAAUCUAAUGAACCCUCACGGAAAGUUGGUAACAUUUUAUUCAUUCUAGGUAACACUCGCUACCUAGAAUGUAUAAAUAUAUAAUUAUGUAUAUUUGAUAUACAAUUC